CCGGCUGAUCAGCGUCGGUUCUGCGGGGGGCCGAGGGGGCGUCUGGUUCCCCGUCUCACUUCUGGGCACCCUUUGGGGGCUGGAGCGGGUACGGCCGUGGUGCAGCGGGGCUCCGGCGAGGAGGCGCCCCUCUUGCGUCUCCGGGCUCCCCUUCCCGCCGUCCCAGUCCUCGUCCAGCCCUGGGCGGAAAUGUGGCCUCGUGAUGGGGGUCCUCGUUCCCUCUCACCGGCGAGGUGCUUGUAGGAUCCGUGCCCACUGCUGUCUCUUUCGGGGCACAGAGGAUCCUGAUGGGCCGACCCCGAGGGCAGGUGCCCCCUCCUUCCAGUUUCACGUGGUGGGUGGAAAGCCGGGCUCUCGCGGAGGGGAGGGUGCGGUUAGCCAGGACGGAGCUGUGUGUCACCGAGUCGAGGCGUUCCCCGCCCCGGGGCCGAGGUCCCGAGGCCGCAGCUCUCCACGCGCGGGGGCGAGGUCCUGUCGUUGGAAGGGGGGCCCCGCGUGCUGGUCUUCAGAACCAGAGUGAGAGGCGGGCCCUGCCCCCGCCUGCUGUGAAUGUAUAAACACUGGUGUCUCGGACUUCGUGGCCUCACAGGCGGUUUGGGCACAAGUUUUGCGCUUAGAUCGCAAGCCUAUUAAUGAUGUGGUUCUCACUGAGACCAAGGGACCUGAAGGCAGUGGAGGAGGGGGUCUGAGAGAGGUUUGCAGGCGCCCCUGCUCCUGGUGGACCCUCAAAAGCCUAGUGUCACCUAACCCUAGAGGUAGAGGAGCCGGGCUAAAGGUGGCAGCAGAGGCACCUUUACACUAGUGUCUCCGAAGCACCAAUACGUGCAGUCUCCAGCCAGGUAACUGAGUUUCAGGGAUAAAGAGAUGAUCCUUGCCCUCAACAGCCCCAGCCUUACAGGAGUGGCAUUCUGCAUGGUGUCUCCCAGCCGAGGGGACACUGUUGCCAAGUGCAGUGAAGACCCCCCAGACCUCAGCAGCACAUUCAGGUCUCAGUAGGUUCAUGGGCCACCACCCUCCAUUGAGCCGAGUCUGGACUUAGAGCCCUGUUGUUAGGUCUGGUGCCCAGAGAGCCCCAUGCAUAUGGGGCCAAGAGCUUUAGUUGCUCUUGUAUUGGUUCUUGGUUUUCAUCUCAGGUUCUUAGUAAAGCUAGGCCCAACCUCAAACUCCAGUCUGGGUGCCUGGGGCUGUGACCACUCCCCUAGUUCUACCUGAGUUCCACUUGCCCAGCCAAGCUGCCUCCUAUUCCUGUUCCUACACCCUCACCUCAGCCCAGGCGAGCUUCCCUCGUUUCCAGUUCUGCCUUCCCACCUGAUGCUGAGAACCACCUGCCCCAGAAGCCACCUCCAGGUAGAGCCCUUGGAUAGGAUGGUCUAAAUCUGAAUCAAGUUUAUUGUUAUGGAUUGAAUUUUGUCCCCCCAAAAUGUAUGUCAACUUGGCUAGGUCAUGAUUCCCAGUGUUGUGUGAUUGUUCACCAUUUUGUUAUCUGACGUGAUUUUCCUAGGUGUUGUAAAUCCUACCCAUGUGAUGUUAAUGAGAUGGGAUAGGUGGUACUUAUGUUAAUGAGGCAAGACUCAAUCUACAAGAUUACUUUGUUUCUUGAGUUUGUCUCUUCUGAGAUACACAGGAGAGAAGCAAGCAGAGAAAUGGGGACCUCAUACCACCGAGAAAGAAGAGCCAGGAGAAUAGCACGUUCUUUGGACCCAGGGUCUCUGGGUUGAGACCCUUCUAGACUAGGGGAAGAUUGAUGACAAGGACCUUCUUCCAGAGCCAAAAGAGAAAGAAAGCCUUCCCCUGGAGCUGGGGCCCUGAAUUCAGACUUCUAGCCUGCUUAACUAUGUUUAGUUCCAGGGCUUCAGCUACAAACUCAAGGAGUGAGCUGGGUUAAAAGCCAGACGUUUCUAAAGAAGUCGUGUGUUUCUGAAGAAGUCGUGUUACAAAGAAAGACAUUUGUAAGACCGAGGAACUUUGGCACGGCACCUCCCAGCAGAGCAGGGCAGCAGGUCCUUUACCUUCAUUGGCUUCCUUGGGGUCCUUCCUCUCCUGGGAGCCAAGAAAGACGGAAGAGCCCACAGGCAAGAUAAAGAAGAUGCAGACUCUAAAGGAAAAAGCUGAUGUGCCAAAGGACACACUUUUCAGAAGAGAAAGUGUCAGGGGAAAAAAGCCAAGUGAAAGCUGCACUCUGGCUGGAAAGCAGAGUGAGGAGCCAGGCCUGAGCCCGGAAGAUGAGGAGCGCUUGUUUGAUGCGUUUAACGUCUCCUUUAAGGAUGACUUUGAGGGGGUCCCCAUGUUCGUUCCUUUUCAGAGGAAGAAGCCCUACGGAUGUGGCAAAUGUGGGUACGUCUCCAGGCACGAUACGGACCACAUCCAGCACCAGUGUGUCCGCACCGGUGAGAAGCCCUUCCCGUGCAGCCAGUGCAGGAAGACCUUCUGGCACAGCUCAGACGUCACCAAGCACUGGCACGUGCACGGGGGAGAAGCCCUUCAGGUGUGACAAGCGCAGGAAGGCCUUUGCCUACAGCUUGUGCCUGAUCGGACACCGGAAGUGCCACCUGCAGAAGAGGCACUGAGCAAGGGGCACAGCCAAGAGCCUAAUGUUGAUGCGAGUUAGGGUCUGUGCCAAGAAGCCUAGGAGGAGUGCCUCCACCCACAGCUCACUUCUCCUCCGCCAUCCAGUUGGUACCAAUACCAGUCCAGGUGAAAUGCAUGUCUGCAGGAGCAUCACCCCUGUCAGACGUGAGGAUACCUGAACGUGGCCGUGUCUGUGGGGUUGUCAUGCCUGUCAGACGUGAGGAUGCCUGCGUGUGGCAGAGACCUUCCUAGGGCUGUGAACCUGGGCCCUGGGGUGCAGUGUGAGCCCCUCCUGGCUGUGGCCAUACUCUGGGUCCCUGGAUGCUGCUCCUCGCUCAGCACUGGCUGAGUGGAUGAACUGCUGCUCCUUGGAAGGUUCCAGAAGACCCAGAACAUCCCAACAGCAGAAGCUUGUGGGACGAGCGUUCAUGUCUCCUGCAUCCGCCAGCGCUGGUGUGUGCUCCGUCCUCACGCCCCACCUGCACCUCCAAGCUUCUGCAGACUCGGCCCCUGGCGCUGCACCCAGCCCGCAGCCUGGUACCCAUGAUGCUGCACCCAGCCACAGCCUGGCACCCAUGGUGCUGCCCCCAGCUUGCAGCCUGGCACCUGUGGUGCUGCCCCCAGCCCUCAGCCUGGCAGCAUGUCCUGCCCCACAGUGCUCGUGGCUCCUGGGAGGCCUGUGACCCCAUGCCAGACCACAGUGCUCCAGGUGUCUAGGGCUGGCUCAGGACUGCUGAGGUUGGUGCUCCAGCUCCCUCCUCUUUGGGGGCCGAGUCAGCUCAUGACAGGGCAGAUGGGGUUGGAACUAGUGAUGUUUUACGUGACCACGUGAUCACAUACACGCUUUGGUCUCUGCAUGUUUGACGUACUUCCCAGUUUCAUGAGUUAUGUUUUAAUUACAGGAGCGUCCUGCCUGCUCCUGUUGCCCUGUGGUCUGGGGCCCACAGCUGAGCUCCCCAGCAGUGGCCACAGCCCACCCAUCUGCUGUGCUCCCCUGCGGCCCCUCAUCCCUGCUUCCUCUGGCAAGCACCAGCCUCAGCCUAAUAACCACUCUUUUGCUUUAGUGGCCAGCUUUCCCCUAACAAAGGGCUUGGUAGUGGUCACGCUUCUUUCUCUAGAAGGUGCGUGUCCUCUUUUUCAGGUUGUUAGAGCAGACCACCCCCAAAACACAAAGUUCCUGCUGAAAUGCACACAAGAAGGAGCUUUUAAAACUGACAAGGAAAACUCCCCCUUCCUGAGUUCAAAGGGGGAACAGAGAUUAAGGGAAAAAUCCCUCCAGAAGGAGAAAGGAAAUCCAGCUGGCUGGAACCAGCACCCGUGGGCAAGCUCUUCCCACAUUAGGGAGUAGGGCCUGUCAUGGAUUGAAUUAUGUCCCCCCAAAAAUAUGUGUCAACUUGCUUAGGCCGUGAUUCCCAGUAUUGUGUGGUUGUCCUCCAUUUUGUGAUUGUAAUUUUAUGUAGAGAGGAUUAGGGUGGGAUUAUAACACCACCCUCACUCAGGUCACCUCCCUGAUCCAAGGUAAAGGGAAUUUCUCUGGGGUGUGGCAGGCACCACCUUUUAUCUCUUAAGAGAGAAAAGGAAAGAGAAGCAAGCAGAGAGUUGGGGACCUCAUACCACCAAGAAAGCAGCACCAGGAGCAGAGUGUGUCCUUUGGACAUGGAGAAGCUUCUGUGCCUGAAAAGCUCCUCGUCCAGGGAGGGAUUGAGGACAAGGACCUUCCUCCAGAGCCAACAGAGAAAGAAAGCCUUCUCUUGGAGCUGACACCCAGAAUUUGGACUUGUAACCUACUAGACUGUGAGAAAAUAAAUUUCUCUUUCUUAAAGCCA